rnacentral:rRNA from 1 species
UACAGAGGGGGCGAGCGUUGUCCGGAUUUAUUGGGCGUAAAGAGCGUGUAGGCGGCCAGGUAGGUCUGCUGUGAAAACUCGAGGCUCAACCUCGAGACGUCGGCGGAAACCAUCUGGCUAGAGUCCGGAAGAGGAGAGUGGAAUUCCUGGUGUAGCGGUGAAAUGCGCAGAUAUCAGGAAGAACACCCGUGGCGAAGGCGGCUCUCUGGGACGGUACUGACGCUGAGACGCGAAAGCGUGGGGAGCGAACAGG